UAAUAUCCUCCAGAAAAAAUGUUCGAAUUAGAAUUAUAAAUACUAAUUCAAUGUCUAAUCUUUUAUACAGGCUCUUUUCCUAUUAUAAGCCCUGCUCCACAUGAGGCUGAUAGACCCUCAGGUACAGUACAUUCUCCUUUCACUUCGCCUCCCCAACCUCCAAUACAAAGAAGACUUCAUAGCCCUGCACCAGCACCCCUAUUUUUAUUUCGUCAGCCAACAGCUAGAGAAAGAACAGGAAGCCUUGCAUCAGCUCCAUCUCCACAAUCUUAUAAUCCAGGUUGGAAUAAUAUAUCUGAAAAUGUUAUAUCGAUCCCUCAUUGAGUUUUAGUAAGAGGCGGGUAUUUUUUCUAGCUUCUUCACAUCCUCCAGCGAUCCUCCCAAAGUAUAACCGAGAGCAUCAUGCUCCACCACCUUAUGUUCAAGGUUGUAACCUUAAAUAACAUAUAGACUUGCACCUUCCUUGUCGAUAAUGUUCCCAUAUACUCAAAAUAAAGGCCUGCUUAAGUUCUUCUAAUGGUUGCUCUUAUUCUGGUACAUGUUUCUGCUUUGUUAUAAUGCUACUUGUUAUGGGUUUUGAUCGUGCUAAUUUCUACAGGGCCUGUUCAAUCUCCUAUACUUUCUCCUUCUGCAUCUGUCUUAGGAAAGCCACAGGCACCACAGCUUCAACCUUUCCAUUCACUACCACCUCCAUCACCUGGUCGUUCAUCCUUUAUAAACUAUUCACAUCCAAAAAGUACUCUUCUCCUUGGUGAAGAAUGUUGAAAUGAUAAACAUACUGAUUUCGUGAUCUAUCUUUAUGUGUUGAUAGUGCAUUUAUGGCAACAUAUGAUGUGCAGAGCCUGCUGUUUCUCCAACACCCACAAUAUCUCCUGUCAACUAUGGGAGACAUGGCAUGCCAGUUCUUGCACCACCAAAGGAUAUAUCUAGCCAUUUAUCUCCCAAAAAUUAUUCGCACACAAAAGGUAUUUAUAUCCUCCAUGAAAAAUGUUCCAAUGAGGGUAAUAAAUACCAAUUCAAUGUCUAAUCUUUUAUACAUGCUCUUUUCCUAUUAUAAGCCCUGCUUCACAUGAGGUUGAUAGACCCUUAGGUACAGUACAUUCUCCUUUCACUUCGCCUCCCAAACCUUCAAUACAAAGAAGACUUCAUAGCCCUGCACCAGCACCCCUAUUUUCAUUUCACCAAUCGACUGCUAGAGAAAGAACAGGAAGCCUUGCAUCUGCUCCAUCUCCACAAUCUUAUAAUCUAGGGUGGAAUAAUAUACCUGAAAAUGUUAUACCGAUCCCUCAUUGAGUUUUAGUAAGAGGCGGGUGUUUUUUCCAGCUUCUUCACAUCCUCCAAUAGUACUCCCAAAGCAUAAUCGAGAGCAUUAUGCUCCAUCACUCUAUGUUCAAGGUUGUAAUCUUAUUAAAUAACAUAUAGACUUGCACCUUCCCUGUCAAUAAUGUUCCCACCUACUCAAAAUAAAAGUCUGCUUAAGUGCUGCUAAUGGUUGCUCUUAUUUUGAUGCAUAUUUCUCCUUUGUUAUAAUGCUAUUUGUUUUGGGUUUUUAAUCGUGCUCAUUCCUACAGGGUCUGUUCAAUCUCCUGUACUUUCUCCUCCUGCAUCUACCUCAGGAAAGCCACGGGCACCACAGCUUCAACCUUUCCAUUCACUACCACCUCCAUCGCCUGGUCAUUCAUCCCAUAUAAACUAUUCACAUCCAAAAAGUACUUUUCUCUUUGGUGAUGAAUGUUGAAAUGAUAAACAUACUGAUUUCAUGAUCUAUCUUUAUGUGCUGAUAGUGCAUUUAUGGCAACAUAUGAUGUACAGGGCCUGUUGUUUCUCCAGCACCCACAAUAUCUCCUGCCAACUAUGGGAGAUAUGGCAUGCUAGUUCCUGCACCACCAAAGGAUAUAUCUAGCCAUUUAUCUCCCAAAAAUUAUUUGCACACAAAAGGUACUUAUAUCCUCCAUGAAAAAUGUUCGAAUGAGAGUUAUAAAUACCAAUUCAAUGUCUAAUCUUUUAUGUAGGCUCUUUUCCUGUUAUAAGCCCUACUCCACAUGAGGCUGAUAGAUCCUCGGGUACAGUACAUUCUCCCUUCACUUCGCCUUCCCAACCUCCAGUACAAAGAAGACUUCAUAGUCCUACACCAGCACCCCUAUUUUCAUUUCACCAGCCGACAGCCAGAGAAAGAACAGGAAGCCCCGCAUCUGCUCCAUCUCCACAAUCUUAUAAUACAGGUUGGAAUAAUAUACCUGAAAAUAUUACAUUGACCCCUUAUUGAGUUUUUGUAAGAGGUGGGUGUUUUUUCCAGCUCCUUCACAUCUUCCAGCGAUACUCCCAAAGUAUAAUCGAGAGCAUCAUGCUCCACCACCUUAUGUUCAAGGUUGUAACCUUAUUAAAUAACAUAUAGACUUGCACCUUCCCUGUCAAUAAUGUUCCCAUCUAUUCAAAAUAAAAGUUUGCUUAAGUGCUUCUAAUGGUUGCUCUUAUUUUGAUAUAUGUUUCUCCUUUGUUAUAAUGCUAUUUGUUAUGGGUUUUUGAUCGUGCUCAUUCCUAUAGGGCCUGUUCAAUCUUCUGUACUUUCUCCUUCUACAUCUGCCUCACGAAAGCCAUGGGCACCACAGCUUCGACCUUUUCAUUCACUACCACCUCUAUCGCCUAGUCAUUCAUCCCUUAUAAACUAUUCACAUCCAAAAAGUAAUCUUCUCCUUGGUGAAGAACGUUGAAAUGAUAAACAUACUGAUUUCGUGAUCUAUCUUUAUAUGCUGAUAGCAUUUAUGACAACAUAUGAUGUGCAGGGCCUGUUGUUUCUCCAACACCCACAACAUCUCCUGCCAACUAUGGGAGAUAUGGUAUGCCAGUUCCUGCACCACCAAAGGAUAUAUCUAGCCAUUUAUCUCCCAAAAAUUAUGUGCACACAAAAGGUACUUAUAUCCUCCAUGAAAAAUGUUCGAAUAAGAGUUAUAAAUGCCAAUUCAAUAUCUAAUCUUUUAUACAGGCUCUUUUCCUGUUAUAAGCCCUGCUCCACAUGAGGCUGAUAGACCCUCAGGUACAGUACAUUCUCCUUUCACUUCGCCUCCUCAACCUCCAAUACAAAGAAGACUUCAUAGUCCUGCACCAGCACCUCUAUUUUCAUUGCGCCAGCCGACAGCU
rnacentral:lncRNA from 1 species